GUGGGGAAUCUUCCGCAAUGGACGAAAGUCUGACGGAGCAACGCCGCGUGAGUGAUGACGGCCUUCGGGUUGUAAAGCUCUGUGAUCGGGGACGAAUGGCUGGUAUGCUAAUACCAUAUCAGAGUGACGGUACCCGAAUAGCAAGCCACGGCUAACUACGUGCCAGCAGCCGCGGUAAUACGGAGGUGGCAAGCGUUGUCCGGAAUUAUUGGGCGUAAAGCGCGCGCAGGCGGCUUCUUAAGUCCAUAUUACAAGUGCGGGGCUUAACCCCGUGAUGGGAUGGAAACUGGGAGGCUGGAGUAUCGGAGAGGAAAGUGGAAUUCCGAGUGUAGCGGUGAAAUGCGUAGAGAUUAGGAAGAACACCGGUGGCGAAGGCGACUUUCUGGACGACAACUGACGCUGAGGCGCGAAAGCGUGGGGAGCAAACAGGAUUAGAAACCCCGGUAGUCC
rnacentral:rRNA from 1 species